UGCCAGCCGCCGCGGUAAUACGGAGGGCGCAAGCGUUACUCGGAAUCACUGGGCGUAAAGAGCGUGUAGGCGGGUUAAUAAGUUUGAAGUGAAAUCCAAUGGCUCAACCAUUGAACUGCUUAGAAAACUGUUAACCUAGAAUAUGGGAGAGGUAGAUGGAAUUUCUGGUGUAGGGGUAAAAUCCGUAGAGAUCAGAAGGAAUACCGAUUGCGAAGGCGAUCUACUGGACUAUUACUGACACUGAGGAGCGAAAGCGUGGGGAGCAAACAGGAUUAGAUA
rnacentral:rRNA from 1 species